rnacentral:lncRNA from 1 species
AGAUUAGUGCUGCCCUCAACAUUAGCUGGAGAAACCUCUCUAUACAGUUGCCCAGUGGUCAAUUAAGAGAUUUCUAAUUCGUCAAAGAGCUGAGGGUGAGAACAGUGCUCAACUCUAAAUGGGACAGCUAUAUCUACCCUACCUGAAGCUCGGGAAACACUGAAAAGGCUAUCACAGGUAAAAUUUACCUUUUGUUUCCGAAGAGACUCUGCACUUCUAAACAGUGUUGGAACUGUUAAAAAGCACGGGGGCUUUUGACGUUGGAUUGAACACGUUUUACACUAUGAGAUGGCCAGGAGCCUGUGGUGACAAGAAGUAGAAGGUUAUGGGCUAAAAGCAGCAUUCUGAGGUGUCAAGUUGACAAAGGAUAGACUUAGGAAGUUUGACAGAAUCAAGAAUCCUCUAGGAGACAAACUCGGACAUGUCUGUGAGGACUUUUCUAGUCUUGGUUAAUUGAGGUGGGAAGACUGAUGGGGUUUUUUUUGGGGGGGGGGAUUGGAUAUUUUCUUUAUUUACAUUUCAAAUGCUUUCGCCUUUCCAGGUCUCCCUUUGGAGGGAAGACUCAUCUUAAAUGUGCACACCACCAUCCCAAGGACCAGGGGCUCAUAUUACAUGGAAGAAGGACCCAUGCUGAGCUUCAGCCUUCAUUCCUUUAAGCUUCCCGGCCAUGAACACAAUGUGACUUAUGCUCUGGCUGACAUGACUUUUUGACCACGGUGCACCCUUGAGCUGUGACCCAAAAUAAA